rnacentral:lncRNA from 1 species
GCUUGCAUAAUAUAAAUAUGCUUGUAGAAAGUCUUUAAUAGGGAACCAGGUUGUAAUACUAAGUUGUUCUAAGCUUAUAAGGGCUUGAUUUUGGAGGAGUAAUUGGCCAGAAUUAGGGUCUUGGCCUGUAAUAAGAGAAUGGACUUUGUUUGUAAAAUUACAAGGAUUACAUCCUAGUGUUAAUAGAUGUCUGAAUUCAUCUUCAUAUUGAACUUUGUAUUGUUCCCACAUUCCUUUAGUACAUUCUCCUAGGAAGGUUUCUAAAUAUUUAUACAUUUCCUCGGCAUUAUCUGUAUUCAUGUAGUGCUGGUUACGGAUAUAAUCUGCUACAACUAAUCCUUUCCAAAUGUCUAUUAUAGAAUCCCAAGUUUGGGGGUCAUGGGCUGCUAUGUUUAAUAUUUUUCCAGAUCCUGCUUCUUGCAAAUUAUAGAAGAGGUGUUGGUCUGCAAAAGAUUCUUUCUACUAUGCUUCUUGCUCUAGACUUAGGAGCUCUUAAAGAGAUUGUAGAUUCACUAUCUUCGGAUCUAGAAGAAUUAGAUCUAGAAAGUCUGUGUGGUUGAGAAGAUGAUGUAGGAAAUUCCAUAUCUAUUAAUAAUGUGGUGGUAUUGAGAAAAAAUCUAAGAAGAUUCACUAUUAUCAAUAAUGUGGUUGUGUCUAGAAAAGACUUAUCUUCUUUUCUUUUCUCUGUCUUGCUUUAAAAAGGAAAUCGAGGCUGUUGAAUUGUUUGAAAGAAGGAAAUGGUAUAGCUAAGUGAUAAAGCUAAAUGUUUUAAUAUUGGUAUGUAAAAAUAUUUCGUGACCAAGAAAGUAAAGUCUAUAACCAAACCUUUCUAUAACCAAGAAAGUCUUAUAUGAUAAUCUGAAAAAAUGUCUUACUAAAAGUUUAUGACCAAGAAAGUCUUAGCUCUGAUACCAAGGAGGGAGAGGAGAGGGGCUAGGUUUUUAGACUUGGCUAGUUCCAAGUUUAAGGUUUUAGGUUUAGGGUUUAGGGUUUAGAAGAAGGUGCAGAGACGAUUUUAAACACAAACUACAAGUCUUUUAGAAUAAAAACCCUGUGAGAAUUUUAGAAAAUAAAAUCCUAGGAUUUAUAGAGAAAACCCUAGUUUUAUAGAGAAAACCCUAGUCUUUUUAGGAAAACCCUAAGGUAUGUGUGAAAAACAAACCUUUGAAAGAAGCAAAAAACCUAAGGAGGGAUUUUUAAAAUAUUUUUUGGGACUUUUUGAGAUUUUAGGAAAAUGCGGAAAUAUUUAGAGUUGGGUCAGAUUAUGUAAUAUAUUGAAAAUUAAGUCUUAGAAAAUACCGGUUAGAAAAAGUGAGAUGCAGGAUUAUACUGCGUGCGUACGUAUAUAAAAGUACUAUGCAAGUUACUAUGCAAAAAUACUAUGCAGGGCACUAUUCACAUAAGAAUCAUGCAGAAGUACUAUGCAGGGUUACUAUGCAAAUUAGUGGAGGAUGGAAAGAAAGAUUUUUAUAGGAGAGACCGUAUGUCGGCUACUUAGAAGAAGGGUGGCAAAAUACCCGUAAGAUUUUUCCGAAUUUUUUAGUAUUUUUUCUGUCUGGAAAGGUUGCUGUCGAAAAUUAGCAAAGUUACUAUGCACGAUUACUAUGCACACAGUGGCUUCACGUGAAUGGAAUUUUUUUUUUUUUUUUUUUAAACUUUUUAACCUUUUUAACUUAAGUCUUAAACACUCAAAUUAAAGGGUAUUUGUAGGCGAAAACGAUGUCGGUCACUAUUAAAUAUUAAUUUAAUAGGGAUGGAUAGGUGGAUGUCUAGAUGAAAUUGUUUGAUAGAGAGUUCACAGUAAAAAAGGAAAGGGAAGAAAUUAAUAUAUGUCUUGAAGGAUAUUUGAAGUAUGAAUAAAAAUAGGAUGAAGUUCAAAUUUAAAAUCUCCGUUGUGGAAAAUAAACCGUGUUAAAGCCUUUUUUAAAGUAGGUAGGUCCCGUCUGGUACUCCCUUCUAGAAAUCACGAGAAAAAUUUUCUCAGUUGUUUUUUAUAUUUCUAAAACUCUUUAUCUCAUUAAAUUUUCGAUGAUGCAAUUUUUCUAAAACUCGGACUUAUGAUGAAAUUUAAUUUUCUAAUGUGGAUAACACCACUUAAGACACUGUUGGUGCACAAGACCCUCUUGGCGUACAGUUUUCAGAGAAUCUCGCUCUAACGCCGCAAAGCACUUCUGGCUAUCAAUGGCGAAUUUUACAGAGCAUUUCUCUUAUCAAAUCUGCCAAGCAUAUAUGCUUUACACUUGCUUAAGCUGAAAUAAUUACCCAGAGAGAACCCAUAAAUUUUCAUUAAGAGUCCAAGGAAAGGGAAUCAUGGGGCAAAGAAAAUGCCAUGGAUAGAAGAGUUCGAGAAAUAUAAUAUUAACAAAAGAUAAAACUUACAUCACAACGCUAGAAGGUUUCCCUUCUGGGACUUCCCGGGGGGGAAGAAAGGACUUGUUUGUACAGACUCCUUAUUCCAGAUUGCAGUUGAUAAAAAGAAAUUUACAGGAAGGACGGGAAAAUAAAAGCCAUAGGAAAUAUUUGUGGAGCUAGGAUGCUAUAUCUAAUAGGAGGCGUGCUUCAUUCUUCACUUGUCGUCGAAAGGAUCUUUCUUUAAGCUUCAGGGAUUUUUUACAUGAGGCAGUGGGAAUUUGGGAGUAUGGCUCUUUGCUCUGGAUGCGUUGAACCAUGCUUUGAGGGAAGGAGGGAGGCCUCUUUUUAUAGGGAAAAGAGGAGGCGGCUUUGGUGGAGAAAAAUCGCGGCGGCACCUGGAAUUCUUCAAAACUGCGGCUGUCUAGGUUUUGGUAAGUGACGUAAUGAUGACGCGGGGCCCAUAGGUUUUUCAAAAAAAACCUGAGGCGGAGAUGGUUUUGCUGUGGAUGGCAUCAUUGGCGGGGCCCUUUGAAAUUCUAUGGAUUUGGUGCAUGAACGUUGUCCACGUGUUGUUCCAUUAGUCGUCCAAAUGGAGGCCACGUGUGGGGCUUGUUUUGGAGACCACGUGUUGAUUCGUCAGGAGGUCAAAAUUUGUAGUGGUCUGAAAUUUGGAAAGAUGGAUUUUCUGAAAUGGUGGUGUCUGUUUGGGAACAAACUUUUGGAACCUUGGUUCUUUGGUGGUGGAGUUGGAUCACAAGGUGAUUAGCGAAAAAUUAAAGUCCUACAUUAAAAAAAACCCUUAUUUUUGCCUGUGAAAAAAACACAGCGGGUUAAAUCUUUUUUCUUUUUUCUUUUUCUGAUUUUUUCUUUCUUUUCUUGAUUUUUUCUUUUUUCUUUUUCCAAUUUUUCUUUGGUUUUUUCAUUUCCAGAUUCUUUCUUCUUCUUUGAUAUUUCCAUUUUUCUCUGGAAAUUCUUUUUUUUUUUUUUUUUAGCAGUGUCCUAAUAUGUGGACUAUAUGAAAAGGCGCAACUAAAAAACAGAUGCAGAACUGAAAUCAAUAUGUACAAAUAUGUACAAAAUAUCAGAACCAGGUGGUUAAGCAUUUUCUCCUAAACUGCUGAUUUUGGGAGAAGAUGCUUCUAGUAUCAUGGGAUCUUCCUGUUUUUCUUCUGUGUUUCCUAUACUAGGGUGUGGUAAUGGUUCUGAAGACGGUUCAGUUUUUGGUAAUGGUCUGGCAAUUGGUAGUGGAUGUUUUUUGGAGGAAAUUUUUUGUAGUGGAAAAGGUGCUGAUGAUAAAGGAAGUGGUUUUAUUGAGGUGGAGGGAUGGACUACUGGGAUUAGUGAGUUUUGAAAAGGUGUAUUUAUGUUGGUAAUAGGAGGAAAGACCAAACUCGGUGUUAUUGUCAUUAUAGGAGGAUACUUUGGAAGAGGAGAAGAGGGAGAUUGAGAUAGAGAUACAAUACCUUGUCCUGAAGGAUGCUUGAGGUCUCUGAUCUGCUGUUCUAGGAUUGCAAUUCUUUGGAGAUUUUUCUGAUCCUUUGUUCGUAAUUCAUCACAAAUGAUAUUCAGCUUUUGAAGCUUUGUUGCCAUUGUUGAGCAGUUGUCACAGAAACUAUUUUUCUCAGGAUUGUGGGUGGAUGUAGAGGCUUGAGUAUGUGGGGAGGAGCGAAUAUUGGGAGAAGUAAAAAAGUUUGGACCAAAGUGAGUGCGAGCAGUGUCUAAGGCUUCAGAGAUAGAAUGAAAACCUUUGUAGAGAGGAAAAGAUAUAUAUAUAUAUAUAUAUAUAUAUAUAUAUAUAUAUAUAUAUAUAUAUAUAUAUAGAUUACUAUUUUAGUUUUAGAAACCUUAGAAUAUCAUAUAAAAGGAAAAAAUGGCAUUAGGUUGUAACAUAAAAUUCUAGUAAGUUUAUAUUGAUAAUCUAAAUUAUAGUCUUGAAGAUUAAGCUUGUCCCAAAUAUUUUGCUGGCAAAUAUCUUCCCAGUUAUCAUUGUCUGUAAUUCCUUCAAGUGGAUAACCAAAUAAUACUCUAAUGUCUCUAAUAAUGCUGUUUUGGUCUUGUAUAUCAUAAUAUUGAAGUUUUAGUUCAUCUCGAAAAUAUUGCUUGUAAUAAUUUUCCCAUUCGCAUUCAGGGUAAUGACAGAUGCCAGAAAACCAAAGUUGCAAACCGAAAUUGUCUUGAAUUCUGUCUAACCAUAAUUGUUUAUCUUGUGAAUUUUCUAAUCUUUUAUGAAGGGAUUGUCUGUUAUAUUCUUUACAUGCUGCUUCUAAGGCGUCUUCGCCUAAAUAUUUAAAGUCGUAAAGGAUAAUGUGGAAGGGCAUAACCGCAAAUGGGUCUUCGAAUAACCUGUGUAUGUCUUGGAUUAUGUCAUCAAGAGAUUCUUCAGAUGGUUUAAGGGAAAAGUUGUUGGUAAUCGGGCAAUAUUGUGGAUCCAUGUCUUUGUCUUUAUUUGAGCCUAAAAUGUCUGGACCAAUAUACAUUAUGUUAAUAUUAUUAUGUCUACAAUAGAGAAAAUUCUUUUAAAUGAAUAAUCUCCAGAUAUCAGAUAAAAUAUUAUCUAAAGGUUCUUCAAAUAGUCUCCAUAUGUCUAUGAGGAUAUUGUCUUGAAAGCAUAAUUCACAGAGGAUUUGGCUGAAUUCAGAUAUUUUAAAAUCUUCAUUUUCUUCUGGGAUAGUUUCUAAAAUAAAAAACAUUCUUUGAGUCAUGGGUCAUAUAUCUUUCGUCAUUGUCUUCUGUUUCCAAUGUGUCUUCUUCGUCCCUUUGUCUGUUUUCUUCUAUGGCGCGGAACCACCAUAUGUCUACUUCAUUUUGAUCAGCCAUAGUAUUGAAAAAGUCUGGAUCAGUAGAUUCUGGGAGUUCGUCGUCAUAAGUCUUGGGAACCAUUUUUAUAAGAACUUGUACUUCUGAAAUGUUCAAAGUUAAAGGGGUUUAUUAGUAGAACUGAGAGUCUGAUUUUUUGAUGUACUAGGAGUGUUAGGAGAUCUAGGUUCUGGUGAAGUUAAAUAGCGUGGGAUUUGUCUGUGAAAGUUCCAUGGUUGGAUAACUUUCUUUGGAAGAGUAUCCUUUGAGUGUUCUUGAAAUUGGAGUGCAGAAAAAUGUUUUGUUACUUCUUGUAUAAUAGGAGUUGUGUCUAUAGUAGGAGUAAUACUUUCAACUUGUCUUUGUUGUAGUACCAAAUUUUCUAAUGUAUGUAUUCUGCUGUGUAAUCCUAAUAAUAGUUGGAUAAUAGUAUUUUUUUGUUUAAUUAUAACUUGUUCAGAUAUGGCUUGUGGGAGAUGAGAUGAAAAACCUAUAGAAGUUUUGUCAGAACUAUAAGAUUGUACUUUUGAUAAAGUCUUAUGUAAAAUUUCAGCUUCAAGGUGCUCGGGAUUAGUCAUCCAAGAGAAAUUUGUUUAAUCUCAGCUAACCUUUGAAGGCUCGAAUGUAAAUCUUGUUCAAUUUUUAGUAGUUUUUGUUCUAUCCUUUGAGGCCUUGCUUCUAGUUGGCUUAGCCUGAAGUCGAUAUUAGAAAGUCUUUGUUCUAUUAAAGUGUUCUGGGUUUUAAUAUAAUCUAGGUUUCUCGAAAUUUUGUCUAGUAAUUCCGUUUGUGUCCUAAUUGUCUGAUCGAGUCUAAGUACGAGUUGUUGAAGAGUCCUUAGUGGAUCUAUCUUGGAUAUUUUUAUAAAAACCAAAAGUAAAAGUAUGAAGUUCACUUGUGAGAUGAUAAAUAAUAAAGGGAUAGGGGAGGUCUAAGUUUAAUAAGGAUUUAUCAUAUAAAGUUAGAAACGCAAAUAAUAAAAGGGCUUUGUGUCUUUUUGUUUUUCUUCUGAUUCUAGCCGUAGUUGUAAAUUUAAAAGGAACAAGUAUGAUUUGGAGAAGAUUCUUUAACUAAUUUAUUAAGUAAGUCUAUCUGNAGAAGAAGAUUUUUGGAAGUUACAGUCGAAGACGCCUUUGACGUAGAUGCUUCCACUUUUACUUCCAUUAACAAUCCUGUUUACGCUAAUCAUCCUAUUGGAACUUUAGUACAUUUUCGUGUUUUAAAAACUUUUUACAUUGAAACUCAUAGAUAUCUAGACCUACUUUUUUGCAUUAUACUUACUCUAGAUAAAGAACAUAUACACUACCCCCAUCUAUUUGAUAUUCUUUCCAGACAACCUCCUCGGCCUCCACGAAGGUUUUAAUGUUAAUACCAUCCCUUUUUCUUCUGAUUCUAGCCGUAGUUGUAAAUUUAAAAGGAACAAGUAUGAUUUGGAGAAGAUUCUUUAACUAAUUUAUUAAGUAAGUCUAUCUGAGAUUUGGUAUUCUUCUCAAUGAUUACUAAAAUUUGUUGGAUGCUGAAAAGGAUGAUUAAAAUGCUUAGAAGAAAAAGGGAUGGUAUUAACAUUAAAACCUUCGUGGAGGCCGAGGAGGUUGUCUGGAAAGAAUAUCAAAUAGAUGGGGGUAGUGUAUAUGUUCUUUAUCUAGAGUAAGUAUAAUGCAAAAAAGUAGGUCUAGAUAUCUAUGAGUUUCAAUGUAAAAAGUUUUUAAAACACGAAAAUGUACUAAAGUUCCAAUAGGAUGAUUAGCGUAAACAGGAUUGUUAAUGGAAGUAAAAGUGGAAGCAUCUACGUCAAAGGCGUCUUCGACUGUAACUUCCAAAAAUCUUCUUCUUCCAAUAUGAACGAUGUUGUAUCUCCAGUUAAAUUGUCUUGGGCUUGUGGUAUUUUCACUAUAGUCUGAACUACUAGUCUCUUCUUGUUCGUAAUCCCUUAGGAUUUCGUCACUAUUGUUAUUGUCUUCAAAUUGUCUGGGGUUUUCGUUGCCGUUAUUAUUGGCUUCGUAUUCUUCGUAAUCUGGUAAAAAUUCUUCUUCGUCUGGAUUAGCCAGUGUAUUUGUUAUUGUCGAAAGAUUUGAAAUACAAGAAAAGGGUCCACGUCCCAAAGCUGAUAUAUAAGUUGUAUGAAGUUAAUUAUAAGAUGGAGUGGAACUCCUAAAGUUAAGGAAUCUAUAAUAAAAGUUUCUAUAUAAUAGGGAGUAUAGAGAAAGUCUAGAAUUGGUUCAAUGAGAUAAUAUAAACACACCAAAAGGAAUCUAAAUAUAGAUUCGUUUAAUAAAAAUAAUGCUAUGUCUUUAUCCAGUUUUGAGAGUGUUAAGUAAUAAUUUUAAAAUUAUUGUUUUCUUCCUAUAUAUUGAAAGGGCCAAGUAAUAAGGUAAGGGUCAAAAGUUUCCCAAUAUAUUAUUAAUAUGUCUAGAAUAUUGUAUAUGAUGUCUUCUGGAAAUCUUAACAGAAAUAAGGUUAAGGUAAAAGUUGUUAGGGAAAAAGGUUGGUUUGUGAUGUUACAGAAAAGUUGAUCUGUAGUGUUAUCUAAAGCUUUUCUUUUUGGCAUAAAUAUCAAUAAUGUGGUGGUAUUGAGGAAAAAUCUAAGAAGAUUCACUAUUAUCAAUAAUGUGGUUGUGUCUAGAAAGACUUAUCUCCUUUUCUUUUCUCAGUCUUGCUUUAAAAAGGAAAUCGUGGCUGUUGAAUUGUUUGAAAGAAGGAAAUGGUAUAGCUAAGUGCUAAAGCUAAAUGUUUUAAUAUAGGUAUGUAAAAAUAUUUCGUGACCAAGAAAGUAAAGUCUAUAACCAAACCUUUCUAUAACCAAGAAAGUCUUAUAUGAUAAUCUGAAAAAAUGUCUUACUAAAAGUUUAUGACCAAGAAAGUCUUAGCUCUAAGGUAUGACUAAGAAAGUCUUAGCUCUGAUACCAAGGAGGGAGAGGAGAGGGGCUAGGUUUUUAGACUUGGCUAGUUCCAAGUUUAAGGUUUUAGGUUUAGGGUUUAGGGUUUAGAAGAAGGUGCAGAGACGAUUUUAAACACAAACUACAAGUCUUUUAGAAUAAAAACCCUGUGAGAAUUUUAGAAAAUAAAAUCCUA